GACGAACGCUGGCGGCGUGCCUAAUACAUGCAAGUAGAACGCACAGUUUAUACCGUAGCUUGCUACACCAUAGACUGUGAGUUGCGAACGGGUGAGUAACGCGUAGGUAACCUGCCUGGUAGCGGGGGAUAACUAUUGGAAACGAUAGCUAAUACCGCAUAAUAUUAAUUAUUGCAUGAUAAUUAAUUUAAAGGUGCAAUUGCACCACUACCAGAUGGACCUGCGUUGUAUUAGCUAGUAGGUGAGGUAACGGCUCACCUAGGCGACGAUACAUAGCCGACCUGAGAGGGUGAUCGGCCACACUGGGACUGAGACACGGCCCAGACUCCUACGGGAGGCAGCAGUAGGGAAUCUUCGGCAAUGGACGAAAGUCUGACCGAGCAACGCCGCGUGAGUGAAGAAGGUUUUCGGAUCGUAAAGCUCUGUUGUAAGAGAAGAACGGGUGUGAGAGUGGAAAGUUCACACUGUGACGGUAUCUUACCAGAAAGGGACGGCUAACUACGUG
rnacentral:rRNA from 1 species